rnacentral:rRNA from 1 species
GUUGACCUCGGAUCAGGUAGGGAUACCCGCUGAACUUAAGCAUAUCAAUAAGCGGAGGAAAAGAAACCAACCGGGAUUGCCUCAGUAACGGCGAGUGAAGCGGCAAGAGCUCAAAUUUGAAAGCUGGCUCCUUCGGGGUCCGCAUUGUAAUUUGCAGAGGAUGCUUCGGGUGCAGCCCCCGUCUAAGUGCCCUGGAACGGGCCGUCAUAGAGGGUGAGAAUCCCGUAUGGGGCGGGGUGUCUGCGUCCGUGUGAAGCUCCUUCGACGAGUCGAGUUGUUUGGGAAUGCAGCUCUAAAUGGGUGGUAAAUUUCAUCUAAAGCUAAAUACUGGCCGGAGACCGAUAGCGCACAAGUAGAGUGAUCGAAAGAUGAAAAGCACUUUGAAAAGAGAGUUAAACAGCACGUGAAAUUGUUGAAAGGGAAGCGCUUGCAACCAGACUCGCUCGCGGGGUUCAGCCGGGCUUCGGCCCGGUGUACUUCCCCGCGGGCGGGCCAGCGUCGGUUUGGGCGGCCGGUCAAAGGCCUCCGGAAUGUAGCGCCCUUCGGGGCGCCUUAUAGCCGGGGGUGCAAUGCGGCCAGCCUGGACCGAGGAACGCG